rnacentral:rRNA from 1 species
GUAGGAAUUUUGCGCAAUGGGCGAAAGCCUGACGCAGCAACGCCGCGUGCGGGAUGAAGGCCCUCGGGUUGUAAACCGCUUUCGAUCGGGACGAAGCGCAAGUGACGGUACCGAGAGAAGAAGCCCCGGCCAACUACGUGCCAGCAGCCGCGGUAAUACGUAGGGGGCGAGCGUUGUCCGGAUUUAUUGGGCGUAAAGAGCUCGUAGGCGGUUGCGGAAGUCGGAUGUGAAAUACCGGGGCUCAACUCCGGGGCGCCAUUCGAUACUCCGCUGACUUGAGUCCGGUAGGGGAAGGUGGAAUUCCUGGUGUAGCGGUGAAAUGCACAGAUAUCAGGAGGAACACCGGUGGCGAAGGCGGCCUUCUGGGCCGGUACUGACGCUGAGGAGCGAAAGCUAGGGGAGCGAACAGGAUUAGAUACCCGUGUAGUCC